rnacentral:tRNA from 1 species
GCCGGGAUGGUGGAAUUGGUAGACACGCAAGACUUAAAAUCUUGUGACUUUCGGGUCGUGUGGGUUCAAGUCCCACUCCUGGUACAA